rnacentral:rRNA from 1 species
AGUGAACGCUGGCGGUAGGCCUAACACAUGCAAGUCGAACGGCAGCACAGUAAGAGCUUGCUCUUACGGGUGGCGAGUGGCGGACGGGUGAGGAAUACAUCGGAAUCUACUUUUUCGUGGGGGAUAACGUAGGGAAACUUACGCUAAUACCGCAUACGACCUACGGGUGAAAGCAGGGGAUCUUCGGACCUUGCGCGAUUGAAUGCGCCGAUGUCGGAUUAGCUAGUUGGCGGGGUAAAGGCCCACCAAGGCGACGAUCCGUAGCUGGUCUGAGAGGAUGAUCGGCCACACUGGAACGGGGACACGGUCCAGACUCCUACGGGAGGCAGCAGUGGGGAAUAUUGGACAAUGGGCGCAAGCCUGAUCCAGCCAUACCGCGUGGGUGAAGAAGGCCUUCGGGUUGUAAAGCCCUUUUGUUGGGAAAGAAAAGCAGCAGGUUAAUACCCCGCUGUUCUGACGGUACCCAAAGAAUAAGCACCGGCUAACUUCGUG